rnacentral:rRNA from 1 species
UACGAAGGGGGCUAGCGUUGCUCGGAAUCACUGGGCGUAAAGCGCACGUAGGCGGCUUUCUAAGUCAGGGGUGAAAUCCCGGGGCUCAACCUCGGAACUGCCUUUGAUACUGGGUGUCUUGAGUAUGGAAGAGGUAAGUGGAAUUGCGAGUGUAGAGGUGAAAUUCGUAGAUAUUCGCAGGAACACCAGUGGCGAAGGCGGCUUACUGGUCCAUUACUGACGCUGAGGUGCGAAAGCGUGGGGAGCAAACAGG